rnacentral:rRNA from 1 species
GGGGAAUCUUCCGCAAUGGGCGAAAGCCUGACGGAGCAAUGCCGCGUGAGUGAAGAAGGCCUUCGGGUUGUAAAGCUCUAUCGUAGCCGAAGAGAGGUGGGGAUAGUAACUGAUUCACACAGGACGGUAGGCUACAAGGAAGCCCCGGCUAACUAUGUGCCAGCAGCCGCGGUAAAACAUAGGGGGCAAGCGUUGUCCGGAAUCACUGGGUGUAAAGGGAGCGCAGGCGGGAAGACAAGUUGGAAGUGAAAACCAUGGGCUCAACCCAUGAAUUGCUUUCAAAACUGUUUUUCUUGAGUAGUGCAGAGGUAGAUGGAAUUCCCGGUGUAGCGGUGGAAUGCGUAGAUAUCGGGAGGAACACCAGUGGCGAAGGCGGUCUACUGGGCACCAACUGACGCUGAGGCUCGAAAGCAUGGGUAGCAAACAGGAUUAGAUACCCUGGUAGUCCAUGCCGUAAACGAUGAUUACUAGGUGUUGGGGGAUUGACCCCCUCAGUGCCGCAGUUAACACAAUAAGUAAUCCACCUGGGGAGUACGACCGCAAGGUUGAAACUCAAAGGAAUUGACGGGGGCCCGCACAAGCAGUGGAGUAUGUGGUUUAAUUCGAAGCAACGCGAAGAACCUUACCAGGUCUUGACAUCCGAUGCAUAGCACAGAGAUGUGUGAAAUCCUUCGGGACAUCGAGACAGGUGGUGCAUGGUUGUCGUCAGCUCGUGUCGUGAGAUGUUGGGUUAAGUCCCGCAACGAGCGCAACCCCUAUUGUUAGUUGCUACGAAAGAGCACUCUAGCGAGACUGCCGUUGACAAAACGGAGGAAGGCGGGGACGACGUCAAAUCAUCAUGCCCCUUAUGUCCUGGGCUACACACGUAAUACAAUGGCGGUCAACAGAGGGAAGCAAAGCCGCGAGGUGGAGCAAAUCCCUAAAAGCCGUCUCAGUUCGGAUUGCAGGCUGCAACUCGCCUGCAUGAAGCUGGAAUUGCUAGUAAUCGCGGAUCAGCAUGCCGCGGUGAAUACGUUCCCG